rnacentral:SRP_RNA from 1 species
GAAGGUUCCCCGUGCGGCGGCAUCUCGCCUAACUCCCCCAGGACCGGAAGGUAGCAAGGGUAAGUGAGCUCUGUCGGGUGCGCGGGGAGCCCCUUUU